UACGUAGGCAGCGAGCGUUGUUCGGAGUUACUGGGCGUAAAGAGUGCGUAGGCGGUUUUCUAAGUUUGGUGUGAAAUCUCCCGGCUUAACUGGGAGGGUGCGCCGAAAACUGGAAGGCUUGAGUAUGGGAGAGGUAAGCGGAAUUCCUGGUGUAGCGGUGAAAUGCGUAGAUAUCGGGAGGAACACCAGUGGCGAAGGCGACUACCUGGCCUGUUCUUGACGCUGAGGCGCGAAAGCUAGGGGAGCAAACGGG
rnacentral:rRNA from 1 species